UUUGUGCUUUUUAAUAAUUUUCCCUGCUUUAUUGAAUAUUAUAAUUUUGGUUUUAUUAAGAUUAACAGAUAGAUUCCAUUUUUCACAAAAUAUAUUUAAUUUAUCUAAAGCAUUUUGUAGGCCAGAUGCAGAUUCUGAUAUUACUACUAAAUCGUCUGCAUAAAGAAGACAAGACACUUGUGUAUUAUCAAGGCAUGCCGGAUCACAUUUGUGGUCAAACAUUUCAACCAGUUCAUUUAUAUACAAUGAAAAUAAUGUAGGGCUUAAUAUACACCCCUGUUUUAAUCCUACACAUGAGGGAAACGUUUGUGUUAGUCCCUCUUUUAAUUUUACAGAGAAAGAUACAUCUUUGUACAUAUCUUUUAAAAUAU
rnacentral:lncRNA from 1 species